rnacentral:misc_RNA from 1 species
UUUCCGUAGGUGAACCUGCGGAAGGAUCAUUACACGAUUUCGGUUAACACCGUUUUCACCCUUUGUUUAUACGUACCACAUGUUUCCUCGGUGGGCUCGCCCGCCGAUAGGACAUUUUAAAACCUUUUGUAAUUGCAAUCAGCGUCAGAAAUAACUAUAAUAGUUACAACUUUCAACAACGGAUCUCUUGGUUCUGGCAUCGAUGAAGAACGCAGC